GUAGAUAUAGUUUAACAAAAACAUUAGAUUGUGAUUCUGAAAACAAAGGUUAAAAUCCUUUUAUCCACC
rnacentral:tRNA from 1 species